rnacentral:rRNA from 1 species
UCCGUAGGUGAACCUGCGGAAGGAUCACUAAAGAAUUUCGCCUUCGGGGCUCUCUUUAUUCACACACCCCUGUGCACUUUGGCCACCUCUUUGUUGAGGUGUGUCUUUUUAAUUACCAUACCCUAUAAACACAAGUUAUUGAAUGUAAAAUCGUUAUAAACUAAUAUAACUUUCAACAACGGAUCUCUUGGUUCUCGCAUCGAUGAAGAACGCAGCGAAUUGCGAUAAGUAAUGUGAAUUGCAGAAUUCAGUGAAUCAUCGAAUCUUUGAACGCAUCUUGCGCUCUUUGGUAUUCCGAAGAGCAUGCCUGUUUGAGUGUCAUGAAACUCUCACCUCCAAUCUUUUUUAACUAGAAGGUUGGGGCGUGGACGUGAGUGCUGCUGGUGCCCUGGUUGCAUCGGCUCACUUGAAAUUCAUUAGCUGAAUCCUUUAAAGUAGGUUCUACUCGACGUGAUAAGAUCUCCGUCGAGGACAGUGCUUCGGCAUUGGCCAACGAUAAAGUUGAUACGCUUCUAAUUAGCGCAGACUUCGAGUGCUGGCAAUUUUGACAACUUGGCCUCAAAUCAGGUAGGACUACCCACUGAACUUAAGCAUAUCAAUAAGUGGAGGAAAAG